AGUUUCUACCGCUGAUAAAUAAGUUUGCAGACGUCAAAAUGGAGGUCAUUGACAGAAGAGAGUCAGGACGAAUCAAAGAAGUCAAAAGAAUACUAGACUCAGCUACAAGGAGAAGAAGGCAGCAAAGACAACUAGAAGCUCUUGAAAAAGAUAAUACUCAUGAAGAUCCCCAUGGACACAUUAACGUGCUGCAGGCUAANGCUAGAAUACCAGCAUUUAAUGAUACCAUGGAAGAAAAAAAGAAAAAGAAGAAAACAAAAACUGGAGAGCAUUUCAAACAGAGGUUCAAAAGAACAUUCAACACUCUACUAGAGGAAGCACAACAAGAUGCAGAGGAGGGUGAACCUACAUAUGCUUCGGCAAAUGUUCCUCCUUCAAGAUUUCCUGAAAGGCAUUUUUGUGCAGUCUGUGGGUUUCCUUCUAAUUACACCUGUGUAUCUUGUGGUGCUCGCUAUUGCUGUGUUAAAUGUUUAGGAACACAUCAGGAUACAAGAUGUUUAAAAUGGACAGUGUGAAUAGAUCAAUGUUGUGGCAAUAAAAUUUAUUGCCACAACUAUUUAAUAGUUUUUGGCAGAACACACCAAGCUACCAAGUGGAGGACUCUGGUGUUUUAUUUCUUUCCUCAUGCUGUUCAAGUUCAAUUUAUCAAGACUGAGUUGAAACAGAAACAUAAUCACAUCUACAUGUAAAUAUUGUAAACUGUCUUUAUUAAAUAAUAUUCAAAAACUCA
rnacentral:misc_RNA from 1 species